rfam:Oryza brachyantha chromosome 3, whole genome shotgun sequence.
AGGUAGCAUUGAAAGAGAGGAUGGCUACCCGAUACAAUCUUCAUAGAGUAAUUGUUUGUCAUUUCCUGCUUGUGGUGUUGUUAGCAAGUCCUGCAGAGUCUCAAAUGACAAGACAGCUGC